UGGCUGUAACCAGAAUCCUUAUAUUUUAGGUACAGACUUUUAUUUUUAAUAGUUUUCCUAUUAAGACUUCUGGAUUCUCCAAAACACAGCCUAAUGAAGUGAGGAGACACCCGUGUUUGAGUUUCUGCUGGUCUCAGCAGGUAAAUACCAGUGUGCACUGAGUCUGUUUACUUACCUGAAAAAGGAAAAAUGACCAUCCCUAGCUUACAGGACCCUUGUGUAGAAUAAUGAAAUACAAAAUGUGGCAUACAGUGAAUGACUUGUCAAUAAAUAGUAUAUGAAAUGGCAAAUUGACCUGAUGGGAAUAUGUUGACCACAUGGCUAUAUUAUAUACAGAGAGUGGAUACACACAGGGGUUUGCAUAAAUCUUUCUGUGUGUGUGUGUCUGUCUGUCUGUCUGUCUGAGUAGUUUCAGAACCUUGGCACUGAAUGAGGCUUCUGUCAAACCCUUGAAGAACUUAUCUUUUUUUCUGAUCUGAAAUUGACUUCCUCAAACUGAGAUCCUAUGUGAUCGUCUUAUAAAAUUCUUGGGACCCAUUCAUCUUGUGCCAACUCUGAAUAAAAUAUAUUGAGGAAGCCCCUGAGGAGACAGAGGGAUAGUUGUUAUUCCUAUAGUUUCGCAAAUGCACCCAGCUCAUUGAUUUAAGCAUAGCUUAACCUUUGAAGAAUGUGGGUUCUCCCUAGCAGUAGCAUUCUCCAGCAAGCUCAGAGUAGGCAGCAAAAUUAGAGCUUGACCACGUACAAAGGACUUUCCUACGUAUCACUCAGCUCAGUGGCUUUCUGCCUGGGGUUCAAUGACAAAGAACUGUGUCCACUCAUCAUCAUGAUCAUUGCCAAGUCUUUUCUUUCAUUUAUUCCAGGGAUCAAAAGUCACGUGGGUCAGAUUUGAAUUUCUCAGUGUCAAAGAAUUAACCAGUACCCUCUGGUGGAGGGCAGCUAGAAGACACUGUAAGGCAAGAAGAGAAAAGCAAGAUCUGAAGACAUCAAUAGAAAACAGGACCAUGAGAAUUCGCUCCAUUUCCUGGUCAAACCACGCCUGUUUGAGAAAUGCUGUGCUAGGGUUUACAACUUGAGCUCAAGGAUACAUUCCUGGGGAAGUCUACUGAGUGGAGCCAUUCCUUCCUAGGGACUAGGCUGCUGCAUUCUGUUCCUGUGGCUGAAACAGGUGACCAUAGACUCAGUGGUUUAAACAGUGCAAUGUUACUAUCUAGUCGUUUUAGAAACCAAAGUCCAACAUGGGUCUCAUUGGGCUAAAAUCAAGGGGAUUUCAGGGUUGGUUUCUUCAGGAGGCUCCAGGGUGGAAGCCACUUCCUGCCUUU
rnacentral:lncRNA from 1 species